AUUGAACGCUGGCGGCAUGCCUUACACAUGCAAGUCGAACGGUAACAGGUCUUCGGAUGCUGACGAGUGGCGAACGGGUGAGUAAUAUAUCGGAACGUGCCCAGUCGUGGGGGAUAACGCAGCGAAAGCUGUGCUAAUACCGCAUACGAUCUAUGGAUGAAAGCGGGGGAUCGCAAGACCUCGCGCGAUUGGAGCGGCCGAUAUCAGAUUAGGUAGUUGGUGGGGUAAAGGCCCACCAAGCCAACGAUCUGUAGCUGGUCUGAGAGGACGACCAGCCACACUGGGACUGAGACACGGCCCAGACUCCUACGGGAGGCAGCAGUGGGGAAUUUUGGACAAUGGGCGAAAGCCUGAUCCAGCCAUGCCGCGUGCAGGAUGAAGGCCGUUCGGGUUAGUAAACUGUCUUUUGUACGGAAACGAAAAGACUCCUUCUAAUAAAGGGGGUCCAUGACGGUACCGUAAGAAUAAGCACCGGCUAACUACGUG
rnacentral:rRNA from 1 species